rnacentral:rRNA from 1 species
CAGUAGCCGCGGUAAUACGAAGGGUGCAAGCGUUAUUCGGAAUUACUGGGCGUAAAGCGUGCGUAGGUGGUGGUUUAAGUCCGUUGUGAAAGCCCUGGGCUCAACCCGGGAAUUGCAGUGGAUACUGGAUCACUAGAGUGUGGUAGAGGAUAGUGGAAUUUCCGGUGUAGCAGUGAAAUGCGUAGAGAUCGGAAGGAACAUCUGUGGCGAAGGCGACUAUCUGGGCCAACACUGACACUGAGGCACGAAAGCGUGGGGAGCAAACAGGAUUAGAUACCCCCGUAGUCCCUGUCUCUUAUAC